rnacentral:rRNA from 1 species
UACGUAGGUGGCAAGCGUUGUCCGGAAUUAUUGGGCGUAAAGCGCGCGCAGGUGGUUUCUUAAGUCUGAUGUGAAAGCCCACGGCUCAACCGUGGAGGGUCAUUGGAAACUGGGAGACUUGAGUGCAGAAGAGGAAAGUGGAAUUCCAAGUGUAGCGGUGAAAUGCGUAGAGAUUUGGAGGAACACCAGUGGCGAAGGCGACUUUCUGGUCUGUAACUGACACUGAGGCGCGAAAGCGUGGGGAGCAAACAGG